GAAAGAGUAGCUAAUACCGCAUGAGAUCUACGGAUGAAAGCAGGGGACCUUCGGGCCUUGUGCUAUUAGAGCGGCUGAUGGCAGAUUAGGUAGUUGGUGGGGUAAAGGCUUACCAAGCCUGCGAUCUGUAGCUGGUCUGAGAGGACGACCAGCCACACUGGGACUGAGACACGGCCCAGACUCCUACGGGAGGCAGCAGUGGGGAAUUUUGGACAAUGGGCGAAAGCCUGAUCCAGCAAUGCCGCGUGCAGGAUGAAGGCCCUCGGGUUGUAAACUGCUUUUGUACGGAACGAAAAGCCUGGGGCUAAUAUCCCCCGGGUCAUGACGGUACCGUAAGAAUAAGCACCGGCUAACUACGUG
rnacentral:rRNA from 1 species